rnacentral:rRNA from 1 species
GGCUCUCAGCUACCACUUGCAGAUGGACCCGCGGCGCAUUAGCUAGUUGGUGAGGUAACGGCUCACCAAGGCGACGAUGCGUAGCCGACCUGAGAGGGUGAUCGGCCACACUGGGACUGAGACACGGCCCAGACUCCUACGGGAGGCAGCAGUAGGGAAUCUUCCGCAAUGGACGAAAGUCUGACGGAGCAACGCCGCGUGAGUGAUGAAGGUUUUCGGAUCGUAAAACUCUGUUGUUAGGGAAGAACAAGUACCGUUCGAAUAGGGCGGUACCUUGACGGUACCUAACCAGAAAGCCACGGCUAACUACGUGCCAGCAGCCGCGGUAAUACGUAGGUGGCAAGCGUUGUCCGGAAUUAUUGGGCGUAAAGCGCGCGCAGGCGGUUUCUUAAGUCUGAUGUGAAAGCCCCCGGCUCAACCGGGGAGGGUCAUUGGAAACUGGGGAACUUGAGUGCAGAAGAGGAGAGUGGAAUUCCACGUGUAGCGGUGAAAUGCGUAGAGAUGUGGAGGAACACCAGUGGCGAAGGCGACUCUCUGGUCUGUAACUGACGCUGAGGCGCGAAAGCGUGGGGAGCGAACAGGAUUAGAUACCCUGGUAGUCCACGCCGUAAACGAUGAGUGCUAAGUGUUAGAGGGUUUCCGCCCUUUAGUGCUGCAGCAAACGCAUUAAGCACUCCGCCUGGGGAGUACGGUCGCAAGACUGAAACUCAAAGGAAUUGACGGGGGCCCGCACAAGCGGUGGAGCAUGUGGUUUAAUUCGAAGCAACGCGAAGAACCUUACCAGGUCUUGACAUCCUCUGACAACCCUAGAGAUAGGGCUUCCCCUUCGGGGGCAGAGUGACAGGUGGUGCAUGGUUGUCGUCAGCUCGUGUCGUGAGAUGUUGGGUUAAGUCCCGCAACGAGCGCAACCCUUGAUCUUAGUUGCCAGCAUUCAGUUGGGCACUCUAAGGUGACUGCCGGUGACAAACCGGAGGAAGGUGGGGAUGACGUCAAAUCAUCAUGCCCCUUAUGACCUGGGCUACA